GUAGGGAAUCUUCCGCAAUGGGCGAAAGCCUGACGGAGCAACGCCGCGUGAGUGAGGAAGGUCUUCGGAUCGUAAAGCUCUGUUGCCAAGGAAGAACGGCCCGGAGAGUCACUGCUCCGGGAGUGACGGUACUUGAGAAGAAAGCCCCGGCUAACUACGUGCCAGCAGCCGCGGUAAUACGUAGGGGGCAAGCGUUGUCCGGAAUUAUUGGGCGUAAAGCGCGCGCAGGCGGUCUGUUAAGUCUUGUGUUUAAGCCCGGGGCUCAACCCCGGUUCGCAUGGGAAACUGGCAGUACUUGAGUGCAGGAGAGGAAAGCGGAAUUCCACGUGUAGCGGUGAAAUGCGUAGAGAUGUGGAGGAACACCAGUGGCGAAGGCGGCUUUCUGGACUGUAACUGACGCUGAGGCGCGAAAGCGUGGGGAGCAAACAGGAUUAGAAACCCCAGUAGUCC
rnacentral:rRNA from 1 species